rnacentral:rRNA from 1 species
UUGAACGCUGGCGGCAGGCCUAACACAUGCAAGUCGAGCGGUAGCACAGAGAGCUUGCUCUCGGGUGACGAGCGGCGGACGGGUGAGUAAUGUCUGGGAAACUGCCUGAUGGAGGGGGAUAACUACUGGAAACGGUAGCUAAUACCGCAUAAUGUCGCAAGACCAAAGUGGGGGACCUUCGGGCCUCAUGCCAUCAGAUGUGCCCAGAUGGGAUUAGCUAGUAGGUGGGGUAACGGCUCACCUAGGCGACGAUCCCUAGCUGGUCUGAGAGGAUGACCAGCCACACUGGAACUGAGACACGGUCCAGACUCCUACGGGAGGCAGCAGUGGGGAAUAUUGCACAAUGGGCGCAAGCCUGAUGCAGCCAUGCCGCGUGUGUGAAGAAGGCCUUCGGGUUGUAAAGCACUUUCAGCGGGGAGGAAGGCGUUAAGGUUAAUAACCUUGGCGAUUGACGUUACCCGCAGAAGAAGCACCGGCUAACUCCGUGCCAGCAGCCGCGGUAAUACGGAGGGUGCAAGCGUUAAUCGGAAUUACUGGGCGUAAAGCGCACGCAGGCGGUCUGUCAAGUCGGAUGUGAAAUCCCCGGGCUCAACCUGGGAACUGCAUUCGAAACUGGCAGGCUAGAGUCUUGUAGAGGGGGGUAGAAUUCCAGGUGUAGCGGUGAAAUGCGUAGAGAUCUGGAGGAAUACCGGUGGCGAAGGCGGCCCCCUGGACAAAGACUGACGCUCAGGUGCGAAAGCGUGGGGAGCAAACAGGAUUAGAUACCCUGGUAGUCCACGCCGUAAACGAUGUCGAUUUGGAGGUUGUGCCCUUGAGGCGUGGCUUCCGGAGCUAACGCGUUAAAUCGACCGCCUGGGGAGUACGGCCGCAAGGUUAAAACUCAAAUGAAUUGACGGGGGCCCGCACAAGCGGUGGAGCAUGUGGUUUAAUUCGAUGCAACGCGAAGAACCUUACCUGGUCUUGACAUCCACAGAACUUUCCAGAGAUGGAUUGGUGCCUUCGGGAACUGUGAGACAGGUGCUGCAUGGCUGUCGUCAGCUCGUGUUGUGAAAUGUUGGGUUAAGUCCCGCAACGAGCGCAACCCUUAUCCUUUGUUGCCAGCGGUUAGGCCGGGAACUCAAAGGAGACUGCCAGUGAUAAACUGGAGGAAGGUGGGGAUGACGUCAAGUCAUCAUGGCCCUUACGACCAGGGCUACACACGUGCUACAAUGGCAUAUACAAAGAGAAGCGACCUCGCGAGAGCAAGCGGACCUCAUAAAGUAUGUCGUAGUCCGGAUUGGAGUCUGCAACUCGACUCCAUGAAGUCGGAAUCGCUAGUAAUCGUAGAUCAGAAUGCUACGGUGAAUACGUUCCCGGGCCUUGUACACACCGCCCGUCACACCAUGGGAGUGGGUUGCAAAAGAAGUAGGUAGCUUAACCUUCGGGAGGGCGCUUACCACUUUGUGAUUCAUGACUGGGGUG